rnacentral:lncRNA from 1 species
AGGGGCCUGUGGGAAGCACAAAGCCUUUGAAGAGGGAACUGGAAGAUGUUUGUAUCCAGAUCGAAAGUCCCUCUGGAUCCCAAUAUGGUUAGCUCCCAUAAGGAAUGGGCUACUAUGACCCAUCCUAAGAACUACAUUUUCAGCAGGCUUGUAUUAAUUAGCAUCACAAGUGUUUGAGAAACCAACAAUAUGGUGAUGACUUUGGAAAUAGCCCUCAAGAGGAAAGUUCGUCUGGAGAGUGAAUUCUCAAGUGAAUUCUCACUGUUUCAAAUACUUACACACUAUGGGAGAGCUGAUGUCAUGGCUAACGGUGUUGGAGCUUAAAGGUACAAUUAGAAAAUAGAAGACUUCAGUAUGAGGAACAGCUCCUAACUGUUGACUGAGACGCUUUCUGCUGCUGUUUGUGAGGGUUCAUAAAGAACCUGUGUCCUCCAUGGGUGUUACAGACAUUUCCUCCACAGG